rnacentral:rRNA from 1 species
AUUGAACGCUGGCGGCAUGCCUUACACAUGCAAGUCGAACGGCAGCACGGGUGCUUGCACCUGGUGGCGAGUGGCGAACGGGUGAGUAAUACAUCGGAACAUGUCCUGUAGAGGGGGAUAGCCCGGCGAAAGCCGGAUUAAUACCGCAUACGAUCCACGGAUGAAAGCGGGGGACCUUCGGGCCUCGCGCUAUAGGGUUGGCCGAUGGCUGAUUAGCUAGUUGGUGGGGUAAAGGCCUACCAAGGCGACGAUCAGUAGCUGGUCUGAGAGGACGACCAGCCACACUGGGACUGAGACACGGCCCAGACUCCUACGGGAGGCAGCAGUGGGGAAUUUUGGACAAUGGGCGAAAGCCUGAUCCAGCAAUGCCGCGUGUGUGAAGAAGGCCUUCGGGUUGUAAAGCACUUUUGUCCGGAAAGAAAUCCUUGACUCUAAUACAGUCGGGGGAUGACGGUACCGGAAGAAUAAGCACCGGCUAACUACGUG